CUGAGCUCCUGGUGGAGCUUGGGCUGAGUUCGCUGGCUGUGUUUUGUGCCUGGGGUGGUCCAUGCCAGUGCCCCGCCAGGAGCGAGCCACACGUGGUGUCCGUGGCACAGGGCAGGUGGAGGCACAUUCUGGGAGAAAUCAGAUUCUGCCGUGGUCAGCUGUGGUCAGGCUAGCUAGAUAGUCUUGGGCCAAGCUCUGAGGGCUCCUGCUCCCAGGACAGCCUCUUGCCAGGUCAACUGUGUUUUAUUGUUCCCUCCCGACCCCUCCUGCUGAUGUCAUUGGCAAAGCUGCCAGCCACAGCCCUGCCCCCUGAAUGUUCUCUGGACCAUCCUUAUGGUUUUCUUUUCUCAAUCAGUCACUUCAAGCAAACACCAUCAGCGCCUGACACACAGCAAAGCUCACCACUUCUAGGAUCCUAAGCCAGACAUGAGGUCAUGUUCUCCACCUGUGAAGAAUUAAAAUCUGGCUGACAAGGGAAGAAAUUUUGGCUGCUGGGCUGAGCCGGGCUGCUGGAAGAGUUAGGGUUCUGUCCGGUUCCUGGGAGGCCUGAAGAGCAAGCGGCCGGGACUAGCGGAGAGCGGAAGAUGGGCAGCAAUGACAGCAAAUGUACUCAUGACAAGAAGUUUUAAAACUACAGCCUAAAACCCAGGAAGGCAGGCACCCACUACCCCCACUCCUCUAACAG